UGAGUGGCGGACGGGUGAGUAACGCGUGGGUAACCUGCCUCAUACAGGGGGAUAACAGUUAGAAAUGACUGCUAAUACCGCAUAAGACCACAGUACCGCAUGGUACAGGGGUAAAAACUCCGGUGGUAUGAGAUGGACCCGCGUCUGAUUAGGUAGUUGGUGGGGUAACGGCCUACCAAGCCGACGAUCAGUAGCCGGACUGAGAGGUUGAACGGCCACAUUGGGACUGAGACACGGCCCAG
rnacentral:rRNA from 1 species